AGUGUGGGUUGGAUUUUCAGAGUGACCUCAGCCAAACAGCGCCACCAAGGAGAGCCAGCCUGGGCCACAGCCAAGUACCCCGAAGACACUACAUGCAGAGUAGGCAGGAGACAUUGGGGACCAGUGGCUAGCAGUGAGCUUGGCCCUUCCUCCUCUGUUCCUGGUUUGUGAGAAGAUAAAGCCCAUAGGGAAAAGCCAAUUGGAGCCUGAGGCGCAGAUACUGUAGUCAACAGCCCCUGAACAGACCUGCCGCAUGGAAGGAUUUCAUACUCUCGUUCCCCCACAUCUUCUCCCAGAUUCCUCCCAACAUGGCAUAUUCCAUUCUUCGGUUAGGUGUUAAUUAUUUCCUUGGCUUUUAAAAGCGUUUAUUUUACUGUAUAUAUUGUGAGCGUUUGCCUGCCUAUAUGUCUGGUGCUGGUGGAGGCCAGAAGAUGGCGUUGGAUUCCCCUGGAUAACAAAGACUGUUAGGGUCCAGCCCAUCUAUAGUCUUUUCCCAGAGUUCCAGAAGAGAUGCUACCAGCAACAAAUUAAUUAAUCUGAGGGAUUCUCGAAUAAAUCUACGUACACGAAACUCUUUAGUCCAUUCACUUUAUUCUUCUGAGUCAGUUCUCUCUCUACACAGCUUCUAUUCUGUUCUCACACUUAGCUCCUCUCUGUCCCUUCCCCUCCUGUCCUCUCAUUGUUCUGUCCAAGUUCCUUCCAUCUUCGGCCCCCUCCUCUCUCCCCAGUCCAGUUUAAAUACGCAUGCAAUCCACAGUUCUCUGGCUACGCCACUUUCUGCUCGGGCGGGGCAAGUCUGCUGGUAUGGAGGAAGCCUGCUUGAUGCACCUGGUAUGUGAAAGCCCUUUUGUUCUGAGUUAAUUGUUAAAGGGGAAGUCUAGAGAUACCACUUGGGCUGUGGAAGAAAAGAAGGUUAAGCUUAAUUUGCACAAGAAGCAAAGGUUUGUACCUAACACCACCUAGCCAUG